CUACGUGCCAGCAGCCGCGGUAAUACGGAAGGUCCGGGCGUUAUCCGGAAUUAUUGGGUUUAAAGGGAGCGCAGGCGGGAGUGUAAGUCAGCUGUUAAAUAUCAGGGCCCAACUCUGUUAUGCAGUUGAAACUAUAUUUCUUGAGUACGCACAGGGAUGGCGGAAUUCAGGGUGUAGCGGUGAAAUGCUUAGAUAUCCUGAAGAACUCCGAUCGCGAAGGCAGCCAUCCGGAGCGUAACUGACGCUGAGGCUCGAAGGUGCGGGUAUCGAACAGGAUUAGAUACCCUGGUAGUCCGCACGGUAAACGAUGAAUACUCGCAGUUCGGCCGUUUAGGUCGAGUUGUCCAGCGAAAGCGUUAAGUAUUCCACCUGGGGAGUACGCCGGCAACGGUGAAACUCAAAGGAAUUGGCGGGGGCCCGCACAAGCGGAGGAACAUGUGGUUUAAUUCGAUGAUACGCGAGGAACCUUACCCGGGCUUGAAC
rnacentral:rRNA from 1 species